ensembl:lncRNA
GUUAAUAGCUGGUGGCCAGCUCCACCACCCUCUUCUGUAUGAUUUGGAAGGCAGUAUCCUCACAGCCAGAAAGUACAUCUUGCUAUUAAUCAAGGAUGCCUGCAUCGUGGAAGGUAUUGGCCUGGAUUACUAGGAAGGAAAAACAAAAAGGCUUUCCAGGCUUUGGUUUUGAUAUCUGGCCUAAAGAAAACACACACAGAUUUCACCCUCAGGAGAAGGAAGGAACUUUGAGGGAGUAACUGCUAAGAUGCGUCAUCUGAAGUCUCAGUUUCCGGCUUGAUUUUACCAGCUCCUAGCCCACCAUCCACCCACCGGUCCAUUUCCUUCCCAAUCUCAGGAGAGGCAAUCUCCAAUUUGGGGGUUUAUAUUUAACACCUGCAGAUCUUGGCUAAGAGAUCUCCGUUUCAUUCUCCUGCACCAUGCCACCCUCCCUCUCACCAUUUAAACACUUUUAAACAGUGCUUCUAAAUCACCACAAAGGAGGGGGAUUCUCUUUGUAGGCUGUUACGAAGGCCUAAUGUUUUUUUCCAGUCUCAGUUUCUGGACAGUCACCUCUACUCGAGGCUUCAUAAAGUUGAAUGCAGAGUCUCACAGAUUGGCAGCAGCUCUGCUUCAUUUGAUGAACGUGGAAUAUGGCGUAAGAGUGUUUCACCUGGAGGGAGGCAGGGCUGGAGAGAUGGCUCACAGGUUAAGAGCACUGGGCUGCUCUUCCAGACCACCAGGACUCCAUUUCCAGCACUCAUAUGGCUGUAACUCCAUUUCCGGGAGGAUCUAACGCCCCCUUCUGGCCUCGGCGGGUAUCAGCAGGGAUGUGGUGUGUAGACGUGCAUGCAGGCAAAAACACCCCAUACCCACAAAAGCAAGACAGAUUUACUCUCUUUCCUUCUCUUUUCCAUCAAUGGCCCCAAUAAAAUAUCCAAGACCGAAGACCCCGUCGGCCAAGCUCACUGUCCAAGAACAGCUGAAUCUGAUGAGAGAAGAAAGUAACCCCAAGCAUUCUUACGAACUUAACAUUUGUUGUCCCCUGAAUGUUGCUGAAUGUGUAUGUGUUGGGUGCCAGCACAAGCUUGCUAACUUUUCCUUCUCUCUUGCUUUGCUGGGUCUCCUGAGCCCUCAUUCAGUGCCUUUUCAGUUGUGUUGGGAGAUGAGGAUCCCAGGAUGCCAACACUGAACCUUGCCAAACCUACAGGAUGUCAGCUGCUAGGCAGGCGUUUUAGGCACAGUGACUUGUGCUCGCAGGGGGAGAAGCUACUACUGUCCUUCCAGGCUUUACUGUUCUUGAUCUUUGUGGGCUCGUUUCAAAUAAAGCUCCACCACCACUGGCCCUGUGAAAUGUAUAACUAUCCAUCUCAAACCACUGACUCAUCCUUCUGGAGUGACCUGGAAUAAGCUGUCCUUAUUGUAAUACUAAAUUCUCUACCUAACAGCUCUCUGCUGCUGUUUUUGACCAUGUGAUGGAUGACCUCAAAUUAAGCAUGCACAGGAGUUAACAACGCUCCCCAAGCAUGGAGCAGUCUUUCCUAUCAGAGUAGGUAUGCAUUUCUCCAGAGAAAGAUUCCUGCUUUGCUGGGUGAGGAUUCCCUCUAUGCUGCUUGCCUGCAGCAAGUAAGCCUUCCUUCAUGAUUUCCUCUCUUGCUUGGGCUUGGACUUUGUACUCGACAUGGGUGGAGUGAGUGGAGGGUGGGGUGAGGGGUGAGCCCUUGUGUUUUGUUAGAAGACAGAGAAUUCAUUCCUAUAUCCACCCCCCCCCCCAGAGCCAAGGCAUGGAUGCACUCACAGAUCUGCUUACUUGUGCCUCACAACUUCAUCACGGACAGUUUCACAGUCUUUUCCAUCCACACCAGUCUAGUAGUAGAACUUUCCAAGCAAGUAGAAAUACUCUGGGAAGCCGUGUGAGAGAGCUAGCUCAAAGGAGGGCAAGGCUGUAGACCUGUGAGACCAUCUUUGCAGCUUCUAGCUCUCUUCUUAAUAUCUGCAACAAAGUCAAUAAAUACUGGCUCCUUUCCAGCCAACGUUUCUUACAGCAUUCAACUCAUUUCUCUUGCCCAUAUGUACUACUGUGAGGCAUAGCACCCAGUUCAGUUCAGUAUACCUUAUAUCAGCAG